rnacentral:rRNA from 1 species
CGGGGGGGCAAGCGUUGUUCGGAAUUACUGGGCGUAAAGGGCGCGUAGGCGGCCUGCUAAGUCACACGUGGAAUCCCUCGGCUCAACCGGGGAACUGCGUGUGAUACUGGCGGGCUUGAAUUCGGGAGAGGGAUGUGGAAUUCCAGGUGUAGCGGUGAAAUGCGUAGAUAUCUGGAGGAACACCGGUGGCGAAGGCGGCAUCCUGGACCGAGAUUGACGCUGAGGCGCGAAAGCUAGGGGAGCAAACGGGAUUAGAUACCCCGGUAGUCCUAGCCCUAAACGAUGAGUGCUUGGUGUGGCGGGUAUCGAUCCCUGCCGUGCCGAAGCUAACGCAUUAAGCACUCCGCCUGGGGAGUACGGUCGCAAGGCUG